CCUGGCUCAGGAUGAACGCUAGCUACAGGCUUAACACAUGCAAGUCGAGGGGCAGCAUGGUCUUAGCUUGCUAAGGCCGAUGGCGACCGGCGCACGGGUGAGUAACGCGUAUCCAACCUGCCUUACACUCUUGGACAGCCUUCUGAAAGGGAGAUUAAUACAAGAUGUUAUCAUGAGUAAGCAUUUUCGCAUGAUUAAAGGUUUACCGGUGUAAGAUGGGGAUGCGUUCCAUUAGAUAGUAGGCGGGGUAACGGCUCACCUAGUCUUCGAUGGAUAGGGGUUCUGAGAGGAAGGUCCCCCACAUUGGAACUGAGACACGGUCCAAACUCCUACGGGAGGCAGCAGUGAGGAAUAUUGGUCAAUGGACGAGAGUCUGAACCAGCCAAGUAGCGUGAAGGAUGAAGGUUCUAUGGAUUGUAAACUUCUUUUAUACGGGAAUAAACGAAUCCACGUGUGGAUUUUUGCAUGUACCGUAUGAAUAAGGAUCGGCUAACUCCGUGCCAGCAGCCGCGGUAAUACGGAGGAUCCGAGCGUUAUCCGGAUUUAUUGGGUUUAAAGGGAGCGUAGAUGGGUUGUUAAGUCAGUUGUGAAAGUUUGCGGCUCAACCGUAAAAUUGCAAUUGAUACUGGCAGUCUUGAGUACAGUUGAGGUAGGCGGAAUUCGUGGUGUAGCGGUGAAAUGCUUAGAUAUCACGAAGAACUCCGAUUGCGAAGGCAGCUUACUAACCUGUAACUGACAUUGAUGCUCGAAAGUGUGGGUAUCAAACAGGAUUAGAUACCCUGGUAGUCCACACGGUAAACGAUGAAUACUCGCUGUAGGCGAUAUACAGUCUGCGGCCAAGCGAAAGCAUUAAGUAUUCCACCUGGGGAGUACGCCGGCAACGGUGAAACUCAAAGGAAUUGACGGGGGCCCGCACAAGCGGAGGAACAUGUGGUUUAAUUCGAUGAUACGCGAGGAACCUUACCCGGGCUUAAAUUGCAACCGAAUAUGGCGGAAACGCUAUAGCUAGCAAUAGCGGUUGUGAAGGUGCUGCAUGGUUGUCGUCAGCUCGUGCCGUGAGGUGUCGGCUUAAGUGCCAUAACGAGCGCAACCCUUGCCGAUAGUUACUAACAGGUCAUGCUGAGGACUCUGUCGGGACUGCCAUCGUAAGAUGUGAGGAAGGUGGGGAUGACGUCAAAUCAGCACGGCCCUUACGUCCGGGGCUACACACGUGUUACAAUGGGGGGUACAGAGGGCUGCUACCACGCAAGUGGAUGCCAAUCCCAAAAACCUCUCUCAGUUCGGAUUGAAGUCUGCAACCCGACUUCAUGAAGCUGGAUUCGCUAGUAAUCGCGCAUCAGCCACGGCGCGGUGAAUACGUUCCCGGGCCUUGCACACACCGCC
rnacentral:rRNA from 1 species